AUUAUUUUAGCAUAAAAGUGCAUUAAAUUUAGGAUUUAAUAAUAUUAAUAUAUAGAUUAAUAAAUAAUA
rnacentral:tRNA from 2 species